GGAAGACAUAUUUAUUUGGAAAAUGCUCGGAAUGCUCGUGAAUUCAAUAGGACCGAUAUUAAAGAUCAGAUAAAGAAUAAAGCCAACUUCCUCUUUUUCUUCCGGUUAUUUAUUUUUACAGGUGCUUCUUCUAUUCUCGACAAAUUGUUUACCAUUUUUGUAAUUACCGGAAUUUUUAAUAACUCAACUUUAUACUGUGCUGAGCCAAUACUUUCUCUACAAGGUGUACUUCUAUUUGUUAUAACUAUCUUGAGAAAAGAAGUGAUCAAAUCUAUUCGUUUAAGCUUUCAAAGAAAAAAGACAUUAAUUCCUGGAUCUGAAGUUACUGAAAU